rnacentral:rRNA from 1 species
UACGGGGGGGGCAAGCGUUGUUCGGAAUUACUGGGCGUAAAGGGCUCGUAGGCGGCCAACUAAGUCGGACGUGAAAUCCCCAGGCUCAACCUGGGAACUGCGUCUGAUACUGGAUGGCUUGAAUCCGGGAGAGGGAUGCAGAAUUCCUGGUGUAGCGGUGAAAUGCGCAGAUAUCAGGAAGAACACCCGUGGCGAAGGCGGCUCUCUGGUACGUGACUGACGCUGAGACGCGAAAGCGUGGGGAGCGAACAGG